CACAGAUUUACAUUAUAAACUUCGAGUAACACGGCGUACGAUCUAACCGUGAACGAUCACCGGAAGAUUUGGGAAUGUAAACAACGAAGAGUCCAUCGAAAGACCGUAUUUCUUCAGCUUGUUUGGAUGAUUUAACCGAUUCUUACUUGUGUAAAAAUGAUCUAACAUGUUUUCUGUUAAAUAUGCUCUGUUUGUUUGGAUAAUUCCACAGGAACCGUCAACAGCGGACUUGAAUAGAUGAUGUGAUGUGCGAUGACGGAUUUGCCUGCACUCAUGCGUCAUCAUGCGACAUCACAGUAUAAAGGAUUUUAAUCUAAAUAGAAACCCUGCAGAUUUGCAGCUGUGCAGAAUGCAGUUCAUGCCAUAUGCUGUUAGAGUAAAUGAUGAAAGAUGUUCAAACCAGUGUCAAAGAUUCCUAAGACUGAAAUCAUGGUGCUUUUAAUAAGGAGAUCAGUGUAUGUUUUCUGUGCAAUGUUGACAUUUGUGGAACUGUUCAGUUUAUGACCAUCUC